rnacentral:rRNA from 1 species
UACGGGGGGAGCAAGCGUUGUUCGGAUUUACUGGGCGUAAAGGGCGCGUAGGCGGCACCGCAAGUCGACUGUGAAAUCUCCGGGCUUAACCCGGAAAGGUCAACUGAUACUGCGGGGCUAGAGUGCGGAAGGGGCAACUGGAAUUCUUGGUGUAGCGGUGAAAUGCGUAGAUAUCAAGAGGAACACCUGCGGCGAAGGCGGGUUGCUGGGCCGACACUGACGCUGAGGCGCGAAAGCUAGGGGAGCGAACGGG